rnacentral:rRNA from 1 species
AUUGAACGCUGGCGGCAGGCCUAACACAUGCAAGUCGAGCGGAUGAAUGGAGCUUGCUCCUGGAUUCAGCGGCGGACGGGUGAGUAAUGCCUAGGAAUCUGCCUGGUAGUGGGGGAUAACGUCCGGAAACGGGCGCUAAUACCGCAUACGUCCUGAGGGAGAAAGUGGGGGAUCUUCGGACCUCACGCUAUCAGAUGAGCCUAGGUCGGAUUAGCUAGUUGGUGGGGUAAAGGCCUACCAAGGCGACGAUCCGUAACUGGUCUGAGAGGAUGAUCAGUCACCCUGGAACUGAGACACGGCCGAGACUCCUACGGGAGGAAGCAGUGGGGAAUAUUGGACAAUGGGCGAAAGCCUGAUCCAGCCAUGCCGCGUGUGUGAAGAAGGUCUUCGGAUUGUAAAGCACUGUAAGUUGGGAGGAAGGGCAGUAAGUUAAUACCUGGCUGUUUUGACGUUACCAACAGAAUAAGCACCGGCUAACUUCGUG